UCAACGGCCCUUAUCAGGGCCACAAAUUUGUUUAUACGUCUGGUUU
rfam:Cyphomyrmex costatus contig16519, whole genome shotgun sequence.